rnacentral:misc_RNA from 1 species
GAUAAGAACGUAGCGAAAUGCGAUACGUAAUGUGAAUUGCAGAAUUCAGUGAAUCAUCGAAUCUUUGAACGCAUAUUGCGCUCUUUGGUAUUCCGAAGAGCAUGCUUGUUUGAGUAUCAGUAAACACCUCAAAAGAUUUUCAUUUUUGAAAUGAUUUUGGACUUGAGCAAUCCCAACACCAGUCUUCACGGAUCGGCGGAGGGUUGCUUGAAAUGCAGGUGCAGCUGGACAUUCUCCUGAGCUAAAAGCAUAUCUAUUUAGUCCCGUCAAACGGAUUAUUACUUUUGCUGCAGCUAACAUAAAGGGAGUUUGACCAUUUUGGCUGACUGAUGCAGGAUUUCACAAGGGUCGGUAAAACGAUUUUUGUAAAACUCGAUCUCAAAUCAAGUAAGACUACCCGCUGAACUUAAGCAUAUCAAUAAGCGGAGGA